rnacentral:rRNA from 1 species
UACAGAGGGUGCAAGCGUUGUUCGGAAUUAUUGGGCGUAAAGGGCGCGUAGGCGGUGCGGUAAGUCUGCAGUGAAAUCUCUGGGCUCAACUCAGAGUCUGCUGUGGAAACUGCCGUGCUUGAGUGUGGGAGAGGUGAGUGGAAUUCCCGGUGUAGCGGUGAAAUGCGUAGAUAUCAGGAGGAACACCUGUGGUGUAGACAGCUUACUGGACCAUUUCUGACGCUGAGACACGAAAGCGUGGGUAGCAAACAGG